rnacentral:rRNA from 1 species
UGAUAGUAUCAGAAGAGGAAGGGACGGCUAACUCUGUGCCAGCAGCCGCGGUAAUACAGAGGUCUCAAGCGUUGUUCGGAUUCAUUGGGCGUAAAGGGUGCGUAGGUGGCGCCGUAAGUCGGGUGUGAAAUUUCGGAGCUUAACUCCGAAACUGCAUUCGAUACUGCGGUGCUUGAGGACUGGAGAGGAGACUGGAAUUCAUGGUGUAGCAGUGAAAUGCGUAGAGAUCAUGAGGAAGACCAGUGGCGAAGGCGGGUCUCUGGACAGUUCCUGACACUGAUGCACGAAGGCCAGGGGAGCAAACGGGAUUAGAUACCCCGGUAGUCCUGGCAGUAAACGGUGCACGUUUGGUGUGGGGGGAUUCGACCCCUUCUGCGCCGGAGCUAACGCGUUAAACGUGCCGCCUGGGGAGUACGGUCGCAAGAUUAAAACUCAAAGAAAUUGACGGGGGCCCGCACAAGCGGUGGAGUAUGUGGCUUAACUCGAUGCAACGCGAAGAACCUUACCUGGCCUUGACAUGCAUCUCUAAACCGGUAAAGCCGGCGAGUCUCGAA